GUGCGCGCGCCGCCAGGCACGUGGGGCCCUUUCGUCCCCGGCGUCCGGGCGCCCCGCGCCACCCCCAACCCUUGUCCGGGCUGGUGAGCAGAAAGAACGAAAUCUAUUUCCCGCUGCCGCUGCCCGAAGGAAGACAUUUAAACCUAGAGAGAUGAAGUGACUGAUUCAAGGUCACACAGUGUUCGGGAUGGAAUCCAGACCUGAGUUUCUUACUGACCUAUGCUAUCUUGUGAAUUCCACACCACCCACUUUAUGGAUGAAGCCACUGAGAUAUGAAACAACAGACUAAAUAGUCACUGCCCUACCCUUGGAGCCUCACACAUGACUCUUCUCUCAUUCAAGUGACCACAGGUUGGUUAAGGGGUUUACCAAGGCUGGGAUAGUGAAUCAGCUAUAGACUUUGGAAGUUGAGCCAAAGGA
rnacentral:lncRNA from 1 species